rnacentral:rRNA from 1 species
GCUGGCGGCGUGCCUAACACAUGCAAGUCGAACGCGGUUGCCCCGCAAGGGGUAACUGAGUGGCGAACGGGUGAGUAACACGUGGGUGACCUACCCUCGAGUGGGGGAUAACAUCCCGAAAGGGGUGCUAAUACCGCAUGACAUCCUGUCUUUGAACAGAUGGACAUUAAAGCCGGGGAUCGCAAGACCUGGCGCUCGUGGAGGGGCCCGCGCCCGAUUAGCUAGUUGGUGAGGUAAUGGCUCACCAAGGCUACGAUCGGUAUCCGGCCUGAGAGGGCGGACGGACACACUGGGACUGAGACACGGCCCAGACUCCUACGGGAGGCAGCAGUGGGGAAUUGUUCGCAAUGGGCGAAAGCCUGACGACGCAACGCCGCGUGGAGGACGAAGAUCUUCGGGUCGUAAACUCCUUUCGAUCGGGACGAAUGAUCGGCGACCUAAUACGUCGUCGGAAUGACGGUACCGAGAGAAGAAGCCCCGGCUAACUCCGUGCCAGCAGCCGCGGUAAUACGGGGGGGGCAAGCGUUGUUCGGAAUUACUGGGCGUAAAGGGCGCGUAGGCGGC